CAACAGGGAGCUAAAGAUGGGGCGGCAGAAAAAAAAAACAAACUCCGGGGCACAAAACGGAAGAGGGGGAGGGAUAAAGAUGUUGGAGAGACGAAGAAAAGCUUUUCAAAGUGGUUGAAAGACAGUAGGGCAGUUUGAUGGGCGCAGUGUUACCCUGCUGGAGGUAUGUGGGAGCUGGCCCGAGAGCUUCGGCGUGCCCAGGCACCAUAUUGGAUCGGCAGACAUCAGCGAUGAAGGCCUGCGGGAGAGGCUAGCCGACGCCAUGUCUGAGUCUCCUUCAAGAGACAUAGUGGGCUCUGCUACAGAGCUGCAGAGGGAAGGCAGUAUCGAGACUCUCAGCAACAGCUCAGGCUCCACCAGCGGUAGUAUCCCACGCAACUUCGAAGGAUACCGCUCUCCUCUGCCCACCAACGAGAGCCAGCCACUCAGCCUCUUCCCCUCCAACUUCCCCUGAAGCUUCGGCCCACCUGCUCAACACAAGUUCCACAGCAGCAUGAAUCAGAUGUGUGCUUGUUGUUGUCUGCUGUCCCACAGCUGGUGGGACAUGAGAGAGAGCCCAGCUGGAUACCUGGUCAAUAUUCUAAGCUCACAUUCUGCUGUUUGGUGAAGCUUUAGCUGAUUUUUUUUUCUUUUAAUUAGCUAGUUCUAAUGCCAUGGUGUCCAAAAAAUAUCAAACCUUUUAUUGUUUCCCCCACAUUUUAGCUAAUGUCCAAGUGUAGAUGUGUUUUGAGAGCCAAUAUUUUUCCGUAUUCAUUGAUCGACCUGGGAACAGUCAGGAAACGUUUUUAACUAUUUUUUUUUUUAAACUCAACCCCACAGAAGAGUCUGAGCCUGUUGCAUUGUCGUUAAGUCCACUGAGCGUCCUCCGUGGUUGCUGAUUUUUUACGGAGCGCCUAUUGUGUGUCUGGGCCAUAAGAAAAGGAGAAGAAAAAGAAUGUACUCCUGGCAGUGAUGUGUGGCUCCUCCCCUCCCCACCUCUCUCUCUGCGUUAGUGUGCGUGUGUGUGUGUGUGUGUGUGUGUGUGCGUUUUUAGAUGUGUGUGGCUGCUUUCAUGGCCCCUCGCUAAAUGUUUUUGAUUGAAUUUACUCCCUUCUUGCCUUUGAUUUUCAUGUAAUUACAUUUGACAAAAGAUGCAGUAAUGAGAUGACACUAUUACUACAUUGCAGAAGUAAUUUAGAUGUUUACAGUAUAAUUGAAAUAUGUUUCUGAAUUUAUCUAGAUGGAUUCCCUCUGCUGCACUCAGCCGUUCCAUGUAGAACAUUCUGGUUUUGCACGCUGAACUCAAUCUUUUGUAGUUUGUUUUACAUGUUUUGACCAAAAUCUUGAAAAACCUGUAGAUGUUUGGAACAAUGCGUUUUCCUCCUGAUAGCUUUUUGUUUAGCAUAGAGGAACAUGAUGUAUUGUUACCUGUAAUUUUUUUUAAUCAAUGUAAAGUAAUUGGAUGAUUUACAAACUGAUAAUAUUGUGCACGACAGUGAUCAGGUGGACUGUAGUCCAUGGAUCUAAAAACUGGAGAGCAAACAUUUGUUGUUGAUAAUAAUCUAACUUUGCUUCCCAGCAUCCAUUCAUUAAAAGCUUAAUAAAAGUAGAGGACUUUUUU